ensembl:lncRNA
AUUCAGCCUAACUAAUAUAUUGAGCAUAAAGUCCAUGAAAACGAGUCUCACACACAGGAUGUAAAGCAGGAAUAAGCACAAAGUUAGAACGGUCUUUUUUAAUUUUUUUGAGAAAUAUAUUAAAAUCACUUAGAAGGUCGUAGUGCCGAGCGGCUCAGGAAGGAAGUCAACCUGAAACAGUUAACUGAUGAAUACACACCCGAGCACGAGACUGACAGAAUGACAAGAAAGGCAACCCGAGCGAGACGGAAUCUUUAUAUCAUAGAAAACGUCACGACGCUUAAAGCUUACAGUGUGUGAGUGUGUGAGUGUGUGUGUGUGUGUGAGUGUGUGUGUGUGUGUGUGUGAAUGUGUGUGUGUGUGAGUGAGUGUGUGUGUGAGUGUGUGUGUGUG